rnacentral:rRNA from 1 species
UGAACGCUAGCGGCAGGCUUAACACAUGCAAGUCGAGGGGUAGAGUAGCAAUACUUGAGACCGGCGCACGGGUGCGUAACGCGUAUGCAAUCUACCUUUUACAGAGGGAUAGCCCAGAGAAAUUUGGAUUAAUACCUCAUAGUAUUAUGAAAUGGCAUCAUUUUAUAAUUAAAGUCACAACGGUAAAAGAUGAGCAUGCGUCCCAUUAGCUAGUUGGUAAGGUAACGGCUUACCAAGGCGACGAUGGGUAGGGGUCCUGAGAGGGAGAUCCCCCACACUGGUACUGAGACACGGACCAGACUCCUACGGGAGGCAGCAGUGAGGAAUAUUGGUCAAUGGACGCAAGUCUGAACCAGCCAUGCCGCGUGCAGGAUGACGGUCCUAUGGAUUGUAAACUGCUUUUGUACAGGAAGAAACCCUAUCUCGUGAGAUAGAUUGACGGUACUGUAAGAAUAAGGAUCGGCUAACUCCGUGCCAGCAGCCGCGGUAAU